rnacentral:rRNA from 1 species
UACGUAGGGUGCGAGCGUUAAUCGGAAUUACUGGGCGUAAAGGGUGCGCAGGCGGCGUCGCAAGUCAGGCGUGAAAUCCCCGGGCUUAACCUGGGAACUGCACUUGAAACUACGAUGCUGGAGUAUGGCAGAGGGAGGUGGAAUUCCACGUGUAGCGGUGAAAUGCGUAGAGAUGUGGAGGAAUACCGAUGGCGAAGGCAGCCUCCUGGGAUAACACUGACGCUCAUGCACGAAAGCGUGGGGAGCAAACAGG